ACUCCCAGCACAUAACAACAAUACUACUCGUAUAGAUCAACUGAAUAGGAUGUGUGUGUGUGCAUAUGUGUGCAGCAGCUGUACUCUUCUGAGCUGCUUUCAGCCUUUAAAAAGGUGCAGGCAUGACUUCCAGUUUGUCAAGCAGCAAUACACAAAGGCACAUGGCCAUUUCCCCUCCAGCAGGAAGAAGCGAAUCAGCUGCCUUAGUGUGGAGAGAGCUCAAAGCAAAAGACAAAGGAGAACAGACAUAAUCUGUGAGGAAGCUGCCUUCUGGAAGUAAAAGGAGAUGGUCUCAUGGAGGACACACUCAUUUCAGUGCACAGCCGUACAUGCAUUUGAAUGCAGUACAUUGUCAGAGGGAAAGGAUUUCUAUCUAGAAGGGGAGGGGAAGUCUAGAAGCCACACCAGUACGAUGAACACAGGAAGCAAUGCUUUCAAAGAGACGACAAGGUAGCAACAUGCAUUAGUGUUCCCAUGAGUAUUAAGGGCUUUUACAAAUAGAGCAAAAAAAGGGGAACUAAAGAGACAGAAAGUAGUUUUAUCAAUAAAUAAAGAGCAGUUUAGAUUAACGACAACUCUAGAAUGAAUCACUGAUGUUCAUUUUUUUAAAAAUAACUCUGUAUCGGAGAAAAGCAGAAGGGGAAACUGCCUCAGUGUUUAUGACUUGCUUUAUACUACUCAAGACAGCAUGGCGACACCACAUGGGAACACUAUGACUCUGAUCUGGAGAAAUAAAAAUGCCUCUUUA